UAAUACGGAGGGUGCAAGCGUUAUCCGGAAUCAUUGGGUUUAAAGGGUCCGCAGGCGGAUGUAUAAGUCAGUGGUGAAAUCCUGCAGCUUAACUGCAGAACUGCCAUUGAUACUGUACAUCUUGAAUUCGGUCGAAGUGGGCGGAAUGUGUAGUGUAGCGGUGAAAUGCAUAGAUAUUACACAGAACACCGAUAGCGAAGGCAGCUCACUAGACCUGGAUUGACGCUCAGGGACGAAAGCGUGGGGAUCAAACGGGAUUAGAUACCCUGGUAGUCCACGCUGUAAACGAUGAUUACUCGUUUUCGGCGAUAUACAGUCGGAGACUAAGCGAAAGUGAUAAGUAAUCCACCUGGGGAGUACGAUCGCAAGGUUG
rnacentral:rRNA from 1 species